rnacentral:rRNA from 1 species
CAGUCGAGCGGAACGAGUUAUCUGAACCUUCGGGGGACGAUAACGGCGUCGAGCGGCGGACGGGUGAGUAAUGCCUAGGAAAUUGCCCUGAUGUGGGGGAUAACCAUUGGAAACGAUGGCUAAUACCGCAUGAUGCCUACGGGCCAAAGAGGGGGACCUUCGGGCCUCUCGCGUCAGGAUAUGCCUAGGUGGGAUUAGCUAGUUGGUGAGGUAAGGGCUCACCAAGGCGACGAUCCCUAGCUGGUCUGAGAGGAUGAUCAGCCACACUGGAACUGAGACACGGUCCAGACUCCUACGGGAGGCAGCAGUGGGGAAUAUUGCACAAUGGGCGCAAGCCUGAUGCAGCCAUGCCGCGUGUGUGAAGAAGGCCUUCGGGUUGUAAAGCACUUUCAGUCGUGAGGAAGGUAGUGUAGUUAAUAGCUGCAUUAUUUGACGUUAGCGACAGAAGAAGCACCGGCUAACUCCGUGCCAGCAGC